AACAAGUUCAGUUAUCUGGAUGGACUAUUCUGUUUCGGAAAAGAGAGCAUGAGAACACAGAUCGGAGGUAGGAGCCAUCUCUCAUUGUAUCCCCCAAAGGAGAACCGUGAACCAUCACGAAGCAAGAGCCCGGCACACAGGAUAUUGCCUCAAUAAAUCCCUCCAGCGGCAAAAUACAAUCCAUCCGCGUCGCAUUCGGCUCUGAGAAAGCGUUUCCUGACAAGCAUCCUCAAGAGGAAACUACUAGGUCGAUUCGCACAACACCAGCAGCCGAGCCAGAAAACAAAACAAACCAGUACACCCGAUCCCGAGGCCACAGUCACAACCCAAACCUCCAGCGAUCCUGGCAAACUCGGGUAAUGGUUCCCGGGAGGUCAGCUUCAAAAUGCUACACAAGUUGAUUCCAAAGUGGAGGCUCUCAGCCAUUCGGCCACCUCGAACGAGGAGCAGCUGCUACAGGCCUCGACCGCAACAAUCAAGCGAUACCGAUGCCCAUACGCUAAUUAGAUUAAGCCUUGGCCACAACUCGGCCAAUGUGAUCUACCUCGUAAUGGGACUUAUGCGAAAAGGUGAAAAGGCACGGAAUUCAUAUUUUGUUGACGCUGCCAUGGAUAGCGGAAACUACUGGUGUCAGAAACUGUUUGUUGUCGAGCUAAAUUCAUCAGUUCUGGAGAAACUUACUUGCUUCCAUCUGGUAGACGUGUUUCAAGCUACUGGUUAGUGAAUCAGCCCUGCUGUAGCUGACUGCCAUCCAAUUAAUCCUGCUGCCUUUGUCCGACGAAACUGCUGCCUCUGACACAUCUGAACGCUGAAGUUCGUGUGCUAGGUGGUCGACCGGAACUGCCGAAAAUCAAAACCGGGUCGAAAUUUACAUUGGGAAAUGGUUCCUUUAUCCAACCGGAACGCAACAAUUGUGGAUUGAUAGGCUACUUGGAGUACCGUAGUCUAGCUGUGAGUCUCCUAAGAACGAUGUGUUGCCAUUCGCCUUAGUUAGUGGGAGGCACCCCAUCGACCGAGCACUCGAGUACAAAUGAAAAUUGUCACUCUGUUCUAAUGUAACUAAAACUACUGUCGACUCAGGCAGCCAGAAAUCAGGUUUUCAACUGCUGUUUUCGAUGAACUGAACAUGAUCCGAAACGACCGUUGAACAUCAAACACCAUUCAGUCGAACAAGAAGACCUGCCGAAAAGUAUGCGAAAAGGUAUCAAGGGAAUUACCAAGUAAAGUAUUCAAAUGGAACGGCGCUAUAGUGUAUUAGGUUGAAAACCAUAGAACUAAUCCUGGAUAAGAAGAUGAGCCAAAGUUUCUUCUACUCUCGUGUGCGGCUUCAUAAAAAUUGACUUCAUGCGGCAUUUACCGAUUCUACUUUUUCAAAAUGAGCUUCAAUUAUCUUAUGAUUAAAAUGAACAUCGCCUGAAGCGACUGUUUCCCCCAGCUAGCAAACAUUGCUGAAACUUAAGCUGGCGAUCAUCACCUUGAACUUUCUACCUACAUUUCCUUUUCAGCGUCGGCUUCCCACAGCUAUUUAAAUGCCACAAUUUUUUUAUAUAUAUUUUUAAUUGGUAUCAAACUGGGUCAUUUACAUUAAUUCGAGACAUCCCUCUCGAAAAAACAUCGCACAGCCGUGCUCAGUUGUACAGCAUCGACGACCAAUUAGCGACGAGCUUCUAUCGUACCGGCACAGAACGGGAGUUUUGACAGUUGUUGGGGUGAUUGGAGGUGGAAAAAAUUAAAGUUUGUGCGUUUCCGUCGCUUGAGUUGAAAAAAGUGUGCGUGGAUUACGUAAUGUCGGUCGAUAUUGGACUGCUGGAUUUCCGGCUUAAAUCGUUCCGUCGGGGUGUCGAAGUGUCGCGAAAAGACAUCAAGUUGUGUGAAGACGGUGAAGACCUCAUAAUAUAUCUAGAUACUGGGGGUGAAAAAAAGCUACGUUAUCUUGGCCGAGUACGAAUAUCAGUGCUUCCGGAAUGUUCCUGGUGCGGUCAUCACGACGGUUCAGUUUUUCAACCAGGGCCUGAUACCAAUCAGCAUCGAGUAUUGCCAGGCCGAGCGGAAUAAAGCCAAUCCUUCCGUCAAACAAUCGCGUAAGCUAGAAAACUGCUUGGUUAAAAACCCGUAUCAUGGUCAAUGCAUGCCAAUGUUGCGAUUCGGCUAUAUUACCAGAUGCUUCCCAAUUGAGGAUAAGCCUGUCAUCGAACACGUCAUCGACAAGCUGUUCAAUCUCACUGAAAGUUUAAGACGGACGGCAAGAUUGUCAGCUGUCUUGAAUUGUGACGUGUUGCCUGUGUCCGAUGAUGACCAAAUCGGAUCAAACUGGGUCAUUUACAUUAAUUCGAGACAUCCCUCUCGAAAAAACAUCGCACAGCCCUGCUCAGUUGUACAAGCAUCGACGACCAAUUAGCGACGAGCUUCUAUCGUAUCCGCACAGAACGGGAGUUUUGACAGUUCUUGGCGUGAUUGGAGGUGGAAAAAAUUAAAGUUUGUGCGUUUCCGUCGAUUGAGUUGAAAAAAAGUGUGCGUGGAUUACGUAAUGUCUGUCGAUAUUGGACUGCUGGAUUUCCGGCUUAAAUCGUUCCGCGUCGGUGUCGAAGUGUCGCGAAAAGACAUCAAGUUGUGUGAAGACGGUGAAGACCUCAUAAUAUAUCUACUGGGGGUGAAAAAAAGCUACGUUAUCUUGACCGAGGACGAAUAUCAGUGCUUCCGGAAUGUUCCUGGUGCGGUCAUCACGACGGUUCAGUUCUUCAACCAGGGCCUACCAAUCAGCAUCGAGUAUUGCCAGGCCGAGCGGAAUAAAGCCAAUCCAUCCGUCAAACAAUCGCGUAAGCUAGAAAACUGCUUGGUUAAAAACCGGUAUCAUGGUCAAUGCAUGCCGAUGUUGCGAUUCGGCUAUAUUACCAGAUGCUUCCCAAUUGCGGAUAAGCCUGUCAUCGAACACGUCAUCGACAAGCUGUUCAAUCUCACUGAAAGGUUAAGACAGACGGCAAGGGUUUCAGCUGUCUUGAAUCGCUACGUGUUGCCUGUGUCUGAUGAUGACCAAAUCGUGUAUGUACAACAUGAACACUCUACGUGGUUAUUUGAAAAAGUCAGUAACUGAAGCCAAGCCGUCUUUUGAAAAAAUAGACGACAAUAAAACUCAGACUGGGCUAGAAAUCGAUCAAAAGAAAUAGGAUGUAAACAAACGUAAGAAACGUCGUAGUCGAGCUGCCUAUAGCUUUCUGGAUGACAGCAAAACAUUAAACCAAAAUUUUUUCUUCGCGAAAUUUUAACCAUUUUGGUAGUUCUCGUGUAUUAACCACAAAAUGGUUGAAACUUUUCUUCGCCAUUUUGGAGUUAACCUUAGAGCAAACCCAACGCGUUUUUUUUUAAAUUUUGAUUUUUUUCGCACGAAUGAAAUGUUUAAUAGUAGUAUAGUAAAUCUGUUCGUUCGUCGUUUCUGCUGGAAUUGCUGUCGAUAUCGCUGUCUCAGGAAACUCCCGGUACAUUCAGUACUAGAAGCAGAAAACUUGUAUUGCCUGUCAAAAUUAUUUUGCCAAGUUUUUGGUAAAUUUUGGCUAUAUCCGCCGGUGAAAAUCAGUCGAAAAUGAGAAAUAAGCCACUCCGAAAAGCUCUGGUCGGAAGAAAUUAGCAUCAUGGGCAUGGCACAGCAAAUGGUCCACAUCAAGCGGGAAUCGAACAAAACUGCCUGUAAGCCGCUGUCCGUGAAUCGGAAAAAAAAUUCUGGUCAGUCAUGGUCGGCUGAUUCUGGGUUCCGGCACCGGGGCAAGUAUAUCGCUAAGAAGGGAUGAUGCACGUGUUAGCCAAGCUGGGAUUGUCGUCAACAUCGUCAACAGCACAAUGUUAGAAGAACAGGAACAAGCUAAAGUUCGCAAGUCAGUCGAACAACAACAAAAUUUUAUUGGUGACGCCACCUGUUCCGCCUAUGCCUUCUUCAGAAAUGUUAGCUAGCGGUGGCUCCAGUCCAUCGCGUGAAGUUCAGGAAAUUUUAUCACUCAAGGAAAACGACUGUCUUAAUGAGCACUAUGAUUCCGACAAUAUCCUUUUGGAUGAUACCGAUGGGAUUGUUGGUGAUGAUGACGAGUUGAAUGAUCUGGAAAACGAAAUCAUCGACGACGAAGACGAGGAAACACGGUAAAAUUUCAAAAACAUAGACGACGAUGACGAUGACAAAGAAGAUAUUAAGUCCCGAAGGGAUCAACCAGAAUAAACCGAACGAAAGUUGCCUGAUAUAAAUCCUAUAAACGUAAAAGGCAACUCCAUCUCCGAAAAAUCUCUUGCAAUUACUGAAUCUCUUAGCAGUAAAACCAUUGAAUGGCCGAAGGUUCCCGGAGUGCCGCUUCCUCCGUUGAAAGAUCUUCCACAGCCUUCCAUGCUUCCCAGCAUUGCUGCUGUACAAUCGAACAAACAGAUGGACGAACUAGCUCAAAAAAUGAAUCGGCGGUUAGACGUAGUAGAAUUACUCGACAAAAAUAACUGAACUGCGUUCGCAGGUGUCUGAUCUACACAAAAAAAAACAGAUAAUUCGAAGUUACUCAAUGCUACUCUACGGGAAAUCGAAUCCAACGUCAUCGAGCAGACCAGUUCGGAGAAGCGCACUUUGUUCAAUAUUCAUAGUGAGAAAAUCGAAACUAUGUACAGCAAACAUUUCAGAACCGAGAUUGACGCACCAGCUUGUCAACCGAAUAGGGACUAGCCUGAAUACUCAUCUGGAGAAGACUUGCAAAAUAAUACUUCAAUUUACGAUGUCGAUCGAACAACAGUUGCUGCAAAAAUUCCAUAGUGUAGGUGUAGAGGGUGUACAAAAAACUAUGCGUAAUCAGGUAACUAUUGAUGCUAUCGGUAAUUCUAUCUAUAAGAGUGUUCGAAAAGCAAUGGAAACAUCAUUCCAUGAAGCGUUACGAAACAUCAUUUUACCGAAUUAUGAGCGAUACUCACAAGAACUGUUUUGGCAGCUCAAUAAAGAAUUUUCGGCAUGGUUAAAAGAAUACCUCGACAAAACGGAAACGUUUAUAUCAUGCAGAAAAGUGAACGAAGAGUUGAAACCGCACUAAAAGAACCGUUCAAUAAGCUGCGGCAGAACUUAACUGUCAAUGAUCUAUUCCAACCCGCCAAUGUUGCAGCCUUGCGUAAAGAUCUAAGCAAUGAUUUUGAAGAUUUCCAAGGCAAUUAGCUUAAAAUGAUUUGGGAAAACGUAAGGGCGGCAAUCGAGAAGGCUUUGGAGGCCCAAGCCUCUUCUCUAGAGGACUCAGUAUUGUCAGCGGUGCGGUCGUAAGCAAAAACCCCAGCGCCCGCUAUUUUGGAUCAUCCCGAACACAUAUCCGGCAACUGCUAGCCACGGAGCGCAUAAACGAUGCAUUCGUUAUAGCUCUUCAGUCCAACGAUUUAAAAUAGUGGAGUUCACAAUAAAGCACGCCGAUUACAACUAGGUGUUUAAUCCAUGUGCUCUAGGACAACGGGUGCUGCUGUCACUGAUUCAGCAGAUUGCAGCCAACAUGUCCAAUAUUAACGAGCUUAAGCACAGGUAUCUCUCUGACGCCAUCGUUAAUCUGACCUUCUUCGACCACAUUAUGAAUGAACACAUUCAUAAGGUCCUGUAGGAGGUAGCUCGUAACAUACAGGCAUUUUUGUCAAUGAAUCCCGAACAAGCACUUGCUACCAGCCUUAAGUUUUUAAUGAUUGGCAUCCCAGGCUGUAAAUAUGCCUGAUCUUCGUGGAAGCAACGCCAGUAAAAGGUUCGCGAGGACCUGGUAAUGUUGAGCCGGCAGUUUGAAGAAAAAUAAAUAAGCUGCUCUUAAACCCGCAUCUUUUUUUCUUUUUCCAGUAGAAAACAUCCCAAUUCAAGUAUUUUAAAGAAAAAAAUUACCUCUUUUCUUCCAUUCUGCGAUAUGGAUCAAAAUUAACCGUUUUUCAACUUCUCCACAAUAAUUUCUU